ACAGCAAAAAAUUAUGUAAUAUGGCUCGAUGUAAUAAUGCCAACGUAACGAAAAAUCAAUGUAAUCACAAAUUUCAGAUGCAUAAUAACAUCAUCUGCUGUGUGAUAUCACAUUGUCCUUAAAUUACAUUGAAACGACAUCAUCACUCUGCAGUACGUUGGUCUUGUGUAAUAUUUACAUAUUAAACAUGAACAAUAUUACACAUAAACAGCUGCAACCACAUCAUUCCGACCUGCUCAAGUGAUAUUACACAAAACCGAUGUUAUUUCACAUUCAAUCUCAAUGCGAAAAUAAAUCUCGCAACACUGUCCGCAAGUUGUUGUUGAUAGUCGACAAGUGACGGCGCCAUUUUCUCGGAGCUGUUCGUGUUCGAAUCUUUUUAAGUGAUUUUAUUAGGAAAAUUUAAAACAAAAUCGAAAAUUUAGGUCUAAUGACCAUGAAAACGUGUAUUAAUUGUGGACCAGGAAGAAGUUAAUACAUCCGGUGCUUGGCCCACUACCAACGGUAACUUCAGCAAUCCGGACAGGUGCCCAUCAAUGUGCCCCCGAAGGACAUAGUCAUUCCGAUGCCUCCGCUUUCUCAGGCCAUUCCGGAUCUUCCGCCAGGGGCCAGGGGAAUAAACCAAAUAUAUGGAGCUGACAAGACUUUCGAAUUGAUUGUGUCGGAGAAUCAGUUCGGCCAGUUUUGCACCGUCGGUACAGUGAUCGGUUCCGAUCCGCGCUACAAGAUGGUUUAGCCCAGUAGGGCGCCCUGCUCUAUGGAGAAGCUGGGCUUGUCGACGGCGAUUUUUCCGGCGAAAGGGAUGCCAAUUUCAAGAAGCUGGAGAAACACGGCGUUAUUUGUGAUUACCACAGCCCGCGGGACACAUUUGCCUAUGUGCAAGAGAAAUUAUCGACCACCAAGGGAGUUGAACUAGAACACUGUUCAUCAUUAUGGGACCAUGAAGGACCUUCGUCAGCUUAUUUGGUUCGAAUGGAUCUAAUUCCAGCGACGACAGUGAAAAGGGUCAACGAGUUUGGAUUUACUGAUCGAACUGUACUAGAUCUAAAGUUCAUCCAUCAACGACCUCUUGGGCCAUACUUCCAUGCCGUAUCUAUUAAUCAUGUAAAUAGUUAUAAA